UACGUAGGGUGCGAGCGUUGUCCGGAAUUACUGGGUGUAAAGGGUGCGUAGGCGGGCAUGUGCGUCGGAGGUUAAAUACAACGGCUUAACCGUUGAACUGCCUGCGAAACGGCAUGUCUUGAAUGUGGGAGAGGAUGAUGGAAUUCCUGGUGUAGCGGUGAAAUGCGUAGAGAUCAGGAGGAACACCGAUGGCGAAGGCAGCCCCCUGGGCCUGUACUGACGCUCAUGCACGAAAGCGUGGGGAGCAAACAGG
rnacentral:rRNA from 1 species